rnacentral:lncRNA from 1 species
GGAGACCAGUGGGGCCUCCUCUGGGAUCUACAUUCGGAGCCCCGUGCCCUUGCCAUAACGGAGGUGAACUGGCAGUGUCCAAGGAACUACCCUGAGAUCCCGGAGUCUAGCAGAGGCACCCUGAUGGCGAGGGGUGCAUGGCCCACGCUACCCCAGAGGAGAAGCCGCUGGAAGAAGCCUCGCUUGUCAAAAGCCAGCGGCAGUGUGCUGGGCCUUCCGCCCUGGCCUCUCUGUAGUUCGAAUUGCUUCCCUGCGGGGAUCCCAACCCUGACAGAGCCCCUACUGCUGGAGGGUGUCCAGUCUGGAGCCCCCUCACCGCCCUGGAUGGAGAAGGCACUCUCUGCCCGGCUCUGGUGCCCACCGACUGCCACCUCCACUGUUUCCAGCCCUCGAGAUUGAGGCUGUGGGCUUGACCUCCCUCCUUUGAGCCAGGUGGGAGAUGGCCCCGGAUUGCCGGCCCAAACUGGCGGCCCAGAAAGCGCAGGAGGCGCCCGGUGACUCCUUCCCCGCGGCGCGCCAAGCGGGCCGAACUCCGCGGCUGAGUCGCGCGGCUCCAGUCACCGCGCGCGGGCUCGGGCUCCGGCCUCGGAGAGCGGUAAACGGAAUCGGUUUCCCACGGUUUCCCCCUUCAUCCCAGGGCCUUUCAAAAGCCGCUCACGAAUUCCGUCGUCCAGUUUGCGCGGAUUCUGAGCCUCGCAUUCACCCAGUGCCACCUGGAAAGGGGACCCUCGAGCCUCCCGCAUUCCCGGGCCUCCAGCCCGUGCACACGGGGAGCAACUUCGUUCCCCUGAGCGCCCUGGCCCCACGACGCGGGCAGAGCUCCGCCCGGUAAAGGUGGCACUGUGGUCGCUCCGGAAUGCUGCCCGCGUGGACGCGGCCGCCGCCUUCUGCUCCCGGUUCCGGCUGCGCGCGGGCAGAGCCCUGGAAACAACGAAAACGGCGAGCAGCGUUGCUUUCCGGAUGUCGGAGUCCCGGAAGCCUCUGGGUGCGAGCCGGUCCUCCGCGUCCCCAGACGUCCCAGGGCCGAGCUCACCGCCGGGCCGCCGGUACCGAAACAGACUCCCCCAGUCGGCUUGCCGGCAAUCCACGCCUCGACGUGACCCCAGAGGAGGACCUGCGGGGAGAUGCUUCUCCGAGCCUCAGUUUCCCCACCUGUGCAACGGGGCCAUAAGUUCCUGCGCCCCUCCCAGGGUUGAUAUGGGAUUGGCAGGGAGAGAGGACCUGGAAAACGCCCGACGGGGCCCAGUUCUGCCCACCCUUUGGGGCCAGGUUUGCGCCGGUGGGGUUCAGCUGUCGUGCACAGACUCGAAGGGGCCCAGGUUGCGCCUAGCGAUCGCCGUCCUCCUUCCAUCUCCUCCAUCUCCCCCCGCCGCCCUCACCCCGGAACUUCCCUCUCCGCGGGCGCAGUGGUGGAGGUGUGAGGGUCCCGCUUGGCGCCCAGGCGUCUCCGCUCAGCCUCUGGCCGGGGUGUUGCUCGCCCUGGGCGGCUCUCUCAGGUUCCUUUGA